AAUCAACGCUGGCGGCGUGCUUAACACAUGCAAGUCACGGGGGCCCGCAAGGGUAACCGGCGAACGGGUGCGUAACACGUGAACAACCUGCCCUCGUGUGGGGGAGUAGCCAUGCUAACGCGUGGGUAAUACCGCAUACGUUCUCUUUGGGGAGUCCCGAGGAGAGGAAAGCUCCGGCGCACGGGGAGGGGUUCGCGGCCUAUCAGCUAGUUGGCGGGGUAAUGGCCCACCAAGGCGACGACGGGUAGCGGUCUGAGAGGAUGGCCAGCCACAUUGGGACUGAGAGACGGCCCAGACUCCUACGGGAGGCAGCAGUGGGGAAUCUUGCGCAAUGGCCGAAAGGCUGACGCAGCGACGCCGCGUGAGGGAUGACGGCCUCGGUUGUAA
rnacentral:rRNA from 1 species